AGGAUCAACGCUGGCGGCGUGCAUGAGACAUGCAAGUCGAACGGACGAACGGGGCUUGCUCUGUUCGUUAGUGGCGGACGGCUGAGUAACGCGUAGGUGACCUACCCGGAAGUGGGGAAUAACUGCCCGAAAGGGUGGCUAAUACCGCAUGUGGUCGGCGAUUCGGUUCGUCGCCCAAAGCCGUAAGGCGCUUCCGGCGGGGCCUGCGUCCGAUUAGCUAGUUGGUGGGGUAAUGGCUCACCAAGGCGACGAUCGGUAGCUGGUCUGAGAGGAUGAUCAGCCAGACUGGGACUGAGAACGGCCCAGACUCCUACGGGAGGCAGCAGUCGGGAAUUUUGCCCAAUGGACGAAAGUCUGAGGCAGCAACUCCGCGUGAGGGACGAAGGCCUUCGGGUCGUAAACCUCUUUCUCAGGGAAGAUACAAGACGGUACCUGAGGAAUAAGCCACGGCUAACUACGUGCCAGCAGCCGC
rnacentral:rRNA from 1 species